GUGCGUGCACACACAUUGAGGUGAGAGUGCCGCUGGGCUCUCAAGAGGGAGGGAGGAUGCCUUCUGUAGUUGUGUGCAUGUCAGGUGAUGAGGAGUGUAUCACACGCGCGGGAUUGGGAGGCUCUGGGAUUCGAGGAUACACGGAGAAGUGAUUUGCUGCCCAUGUUAUCGUGGAGUCCUGUCCGAAGGACCGACAAAGGUCCCAGUUCGGCACAGUUCUCUAGACUAUGAUGACAGGAAGGGGAUGUUAGCUUCCCUUUGGUUGGCCUGUGGUGUACUGUAUCGCGAUGAAGCUGGUCCUUUCAUCUGGGGCCUACACAAGCACAAGCACACAACCCUCCUCCACCAGUCGUUGGUUACUGCACCCCAGGAAAAAUAAACACCAACCUAGACCUAGCCAGACGGUGGAUUGAUGAUAGGCGUGCGCAGGAGUAGCAUGUGUGUGUGGUGUCUGGCAAGAACCUAGUUGUAAGCGUGUGCGUGUGUUACUGGAGGCUAUUAGGUCGGAUGGGCAACAGGACGUAACUCUGAAUCGUUAUCUUUUGAAUGAAACCGGAUACAUGGGUUCAGGAUUCCUCCCUCCCCAAAACUAUUCCCGAUCUCGAUCUAGGUGCGGCUCACGUCGCUCGUGAGCUGCCGACGACCACGGGGGCAUCACAGGGGUAUCAGAGCCUCGUCUUCCUUGGCGUGGGUGUUGGGGUGACGGCGGCGGCGGCGGCGCGACAUUGGACAGGCAAGCGGCGCGGACGGCGGGGCUUCCCUUUCUCCGAUUCAGGUGUCUCCUUGUCCGAUUCCUUCUACCUACCAGCGAUUGGAUGUAUCUGGUCUUGGAUUGGCUGAUCGUGUGUUGAAUUGCAAUACCCCGUUGAUUUGAGCUUGUACACGGGUUGGGUUUGCUGAGGCCUCGCCGUUUGCCGCGCAGCACCGGUGACGGCGAUUGACUUCCUAUAAUUCCCAUCCCACCACGGUUCGAUUUGCGGGCAAUUCACCACGGCUCCACCCAAACCCUCCCUGUAGUCCCAACUUCUUUUGGAGGCCAUGGCCGAGGGUUACUCCAAAGCCGAUGCGAAACUGGAUAAGUUGAUAGAAUCAGUGGAUGUGUUGUUUGCCAAACUGGAAGACCUCAGUGUAGCCCAGACACAAAUGCAAGUGAAAUUGGACAUCAACAGUAAGGCUGUGGAUUUGUCCAUGCGGGAGCAACAACUGUUAGCACAACAAUUGGAGCUACUGGGCAAACGGUGGCUAAAUUGACAUUGGAUCGAUUGGGGCAACAGGAUCAAGAUGUUGAGGGUAGUCCUACUCCAUCCAAUGCUACCUCUCACCGAAAGCAUCACCACCAUCAGGACCACAACCAGUUUGAGGAAUCACACCAUCAGCGCUUUGCUACGGGUGCCCGUCAUUUUGGACACAAUACUGCAGCUCACAGAAAUUCAAUGCCAAAAAUGCAGUUUCCAAAAUUUGAAAGACAAGAUCCAACAAUUUGGCGUAAUAAGUGUGAAACUUAUUUUCAGAUCUUUGACAUUCCAGAUCACAUGAAGAUCAUGACAGCAGUAAUGCAUAUGGAUGAAAAUACCUCCAGGUGGUUCGGAGUCUAUAAGAGGAAGAAUAGAGUGGAGAAUUGGGACCAAUUCAUUAAAGCUGUAGAGCACAAAUUUGGGGCUUAUGACUACCAGCAUGCUAUUGAUGAAUUAUUGGAUUUGAAACAAGUCAGCUCAGUGGAGGAGUAUGCACAUGCUUUUGAGACUCUUCAAUUUCAGGUGGACAUGCAUAGUGGAGGAAUGCCUGACACCUACUUCAUCUCACAAUUUAUUCAAGGGUUUAAACCUGACAUAAGGUAUGCAGUUCAAGGACAAGUCCCACACUCUAUGGAAAGAGUAGUGAUGUUGGCCAAUAUACAACAGCAGAUCCAAGAACAAAGUUCCAAAAAGAGUCUGAAAUACUCCACCACUACCAAAUGGCCUGCUACAUCAACCUCAGUCCGAGUGGAUCAGCCAAAACUGGUUACAUCUCCUACACUUUCCAAGGAAAGGCAGCUCAGAGAUUAUUGUAGAGUUCACAUCCUCUGUUUUUAUUGCAGAGAACCAUAUGAUGCCACUCAUGCUUCUAAGUGCACUAAAAGGCCAAAAGCUCAAGUCAAUGCCCUGGUGCUCAAUGAUUUAGAUGUUAGCUUAACUGAGGAAGUCCUCACUCAGUUGGAUAUUGAAGAUGCCUUGGCAGUAGAUUUUGGCACGCUCUCACUUAAUGCCAUUGCUGGCACAGAGAAGGGUGAAGUUAUGAGAUUAAGAGCCCUUGUCAAGAACAAAGUGAUGUUAAUGUUAGUAGACAGUGGUAGUUCCCAUUGCUUUGUAAGCUCCGGAUUCUUAAACAAGCUUGGCAUCCAACCCAUACCGGCACAACCCAAAACUGUGAAAGUAGCAAAUGGGGAGGUACUAGUCUCUGAUCAAAUGGUACCAAAGUUAGCAUGGUGGAUUCAAGGACACACUUUCAGUUGUGACAUGAGAGUGCUGAAUCUAGAAGCUUAUGAUUGUAUAUUGGGGUAUGAUUGGCUCAAGUUACACAGUCCCAUUACCCACCAUUGGGAACACAAGACUAUGCAAUUUUUGCAUAAAGGGGAGCAGAUCACUAUACAGGGUGUUCAGAUAGGCAAUUUACUUGUUCAGGAGCUCUCAGCUGAUAAAUUACUGAAAUGGGAUGCUGGCAAUGAUAUUUGGGCUUUUGCUAUAGUUAAGGUUUUACCACAGCAAGAAGAACAAUCUAAUCCUGCUGAAGUUCAGGCACUAUUGGAGAAAUUUCAAGAUGUCUUUGCUGAACCUAAAGAGUGGCCUCCCUCUAGAGUUUAUGAUCACCCUAUUCCUAUCAUUCCAGGUGCCAUUGCUGUUAAUUCUAAGCCCUAUAGAUAUUCUCCUUUACACAAGAAUGAAAUUGAAAGACAGGUUCAAGAAUUACUUGUUGCUGGUCUCAUAACCCCAAGUAUGAGCCCUUAUGCUUCUCCUGUAUUACUAUUUCAAAAGAAAGAUGGUACUUGGCGUUUUUGUGUGGAUUAUAGGAAACUUAAUGACAUCACCAUCAAAAAUAGAUUUCCUAUGCCCAUCAUUGAUGAAAUUCUGGAUGAACUUGCUGGCACAAAGUAUUUCACCAAAUUGGAUAUGAGAGCUGGUUAUCUAACCAAGUCAGGAUGAAAGAGUGUGAUGAAUACAAAACAGCUUUUAAGACACAUCAUGGGCAUUACCAGUUUAGAGUUAUGCCAUUUGGGCUUACCAAUGCUCCUGCCACCUUUCAAUGUACCAUGAAUGAAAUUUUGGACCCUUUCCUAAGAAAAUUUGUGCUAGUGUUUCUUGAUGACAUAUUAAUUUACAGUCCCACUUUGGACUCACAUAUGCAACAUCUCAGGCUGGUUCUAGAGAAGUUUAGACAACAUCACUUCUUCCUGAAAUACAACAAAUGCUCUUUUGCUCAACAUCAACUCGAUUAUUUGGGCCAUAUCAUUUCUCAGCAGGGGGUGGCUACUGAUCCAGCAAAAAUAGAAGCUAUGCUCAAUUGGCUAGUUCCCACUACUGUCACUGAACUGAGGGGCUUUCUGAGCCUUACUGGUUACUACAGAAAGUUUAUCAAACACUAUAGCUUACUGGCUAAACCAUUGACAAAUCUACUAAAGAAGAAGCAAUUUGAGUGGCAUGUGGUAGCUCAAGCAGCUUUUGAACAGUUGAAACAAGCAAUGAUCAUAGCUCUAGUGUUGGCAAUCCCAGAUUUCACUCAGCCAUUUAUUGUUGAAACUGAUGCAUCUGAUUCAGGGGUGGGGGCUGUUUUGAUGCAGGGAGACCAACUUGUGGCUUUUAUGAGCAACGCAUUAGGACCAACACAUCAGAAAAUGUCCAUAUAUGAAAAGGAAUUUCUAGCUCUAAUUAUGGUUGUGGAGAAAUGGAGACCAUAUCUUCAAAGAUAGGAAUUCAUAAUCAGAACAAAUCAUAAAAGUUUAUCUUAUCUUAAUGAACAAAACCUCCACUCUGAAAUGCAGAGGAUGGCAAUGACAAGACUAAUGGGAUUACAAUUUAAGGUCAUUUACAGAAGAGGAAAGGAAAACUUAGCAGCUGAUGCUCUAUUCAGAUGCUGCCAUUUGUUAGCACUCCAAGCUGUUUCUGAAGCUCAACCAGUUUGGAUUCAGGAGGUGCUCAAUACUUAUGCUAUUGACCCUCAAGCCCAAGAAAUCUUAACCAGGCUAGCCAUUAAGUCUCCUGAUGAUCAAGGUUUUUCUUUGCAACAAGGCCUUAUCAAGUUCAACAACAAAGUUUGGAUCGCUGAAAAUUCAUCUUUGUAAACCAGGCUGAUUGAUGCUUUGCACUCUAGUGUUCUUGGAGGCCAUUCUGGCAUCAAAGCCACUUACUACAGAAUCAAACAACUUUUUUAUUGGAAAGGGCUGAAAACUGAUGUCACCAACUUUGUGAAGAAAUGUUUAAUCUGUCAACAAGACAAGCAUGAACAUACUCACCCAACAGGUUUACUUCAACCUCUUCCCAUUACUCAAGGGGCUUGGCAGGAUAUUUCCCUAGAUUUUGUGGAAGGAUUGCCACUGUCAGAAGGAUGUAAUGUCAUCCUAGUGGUAGUUGACAGAUUCACAAAAUACAGUCAUUUCAUCCCUUUGAAGCACCCAUUCACUGCACAAGGAGUAGCUAAGGCAGUACUUGACAAUGUAAUUAAGUUACAUGGCAUGCCAAGAACAAUAGUAUAUGAUAGGGAUAAUAUUUUCACCAGUGCCUUUUGGACAGCAUUGUUUAAAUUGGUGGAUACAAAAUUACUCAGAAGUUCAGCUUAUCACCCACAAACUGAUGGCCAAACUGAACGAGUAAAUCAAUGCCUGAAAAUGUACCUCAGAUGUGCUGUUCAAGAUACACCCAAACAAUGAAAGUCAUGGCUCUCUUUGGCUGAAUUGUGGUACAAUUCCAGUUACCACACUUCUCUGGGUUGUUCCCCUUAAGGCUCUCUACGGUUAUGAGGCUGAUUUGGGCACUCUUCUACCAUUGUCUGCUCAAGAACACAACCUAGCCCUGGACUUUCUGCAAGAGAAGGAGCAAUAAUUGGCGUCUCUAAAACACCACCUUGCUGUAGCUCAGAAUCGGAUUAAACUACAAGCAGAUCGCCAUCGCUCCGACAGAAACUUUCAAGUUGGUGCCCAAGUUCUACUUAAGCUGCAACCUUAUGUGCAGCACUCGGUGGUAACCAGACCUUAUCCUAAGCUAGCUUUCAAGUAUUCUGGUCCUGUUGAGGUGGAACAGAAAAUUGGAUCAGCUGCUUACCGAUUGGCAUUACCGGAGGGAAGUCAAAUCCAUCCGAUGUUCCAUGUUUCACAACUUAAACCCUUCACACCCAACUACACUCUUGUCUUCAAGGAAUUGCCAACUGUUGCUGAUUUGUCAACUCAAGAUCUAUCACCAGAGACUAUAUUGGAUCGUCGGCCGGUCAAGAAGGACACUCGAGCCAUCCCUCAGGUUCUCAUCAAAUAGACUACCCUGCCUGCUACCUCUGCAACUUGGGAGGAUUAUUAUGUCAUCAAGAACAAGUUCCCUGAUGCCGUUGCUUGGGGACAAGCAAGCUCUGAAGCUGGGGGAGCUGUCAGGCCCAGCCAGACGGUGGACUGAUGAUAGGCAUGUGCAGGAGUAGCGUGUGUGUGGUGUCUGGGCAGGACCUAGCUGUAAGCGUGUGUGCGUGUGUUACUGGAGGCUAUUAGGCCAGAUGGGCAACAGGAUGUAACUCUGAAUCGUUAUCUUCUGAAUGAAAUCGGAUACAGGGGUUUAGGGUUCCUCCCUCCCCAAAACUAUUCCCGAUCUUGAUCUAGGUGCGGCUCACGUCGCCAGCGAGCUGUCGACGGCCACGGGGGCAUCACACCUAGCGUGCUACUCAACCACACCGGAUAAAAGGGAAAAGAUUUUAACAGCAUCUUCCCUAAAAAUAGGAACGUCGUGGAAGCAACAAAUAAAAAGAUAAGGACUAGCAUGAAUGAAAUAUCCGGACAUGAUGUCCAAAUGAUUAAAGGCAAGGUUUAACAAAUCUUAGCCAUCAUUAAGCAACAAACAAACUUUCAUAGAGGACUUAAUUAUUACAGCAUAGCACUAGGGAAUUUUGAUUAAGAAGAAGUGUGUGACGUGCUGCUACUUCCCAACCCCUCAAGCAAAGCAUCCAUCCAUCAAGUACUUGCGGUGGUAAAGAAAUAGGGGUGAGAUAUAAAAUCUCAGCAAGUAACCGGCUUUAACAAGCUAUUUAACCUACAAGUUCAUUAGACAAUGGUUUAACUAUUAUCAACAAGCAAAACUCCUCAAUGAAAAAUAAUAAUAUUAUCAACUCCAACACCCUCAUACAUAAAUAAAACCAAUUCAUCGCCAAACCUUGGAGAAGAUUCACUUCUCACCACCAUUGUCAAAUAAAUGCCAUAGAAAAUCAAUAGCACCCUAAAUGCGAAUGCAAUGCAAAUGCCAUGUCUCCUGCCUUCAUACUCAACAAAGUAUGAAGCUGCAUCGUUACGUCCAAUAAACGAUGUUGUACCAGUACGGUCGCGGCUAUCAAGCGGCAACAUAACUCCAUAUACCAUGCAUUGUGAUGCAAUGAAAUGCAAUGCCAAGAUAGAUUGCACAGAGAGAGUACACAACAUGAAACAGCAUGUCCAGCAUAAUGGCUCAUCACAUGUCAUUGGUGGCCUCUCUCAGCUUUUACUUGUAUUACUGGUCGGAUUAAUGAUCUUUUCAUUUAUUAUGAGUCAAAAACACAAGCAUUUAUAAAUCUCCACGGAGGGAUCCAAGAAAAUGUUAUGCGUUAGACUAGUCGCGGUAGCAGUAUUAUCUGUGCAUGCCCGGAGUGCCAGCCAUCUGGCAAAUGAUCGGAAUGAUUACGAAAAAUGUUGCCAGAACCCAAGAGCGAGUUGCCCGUGCAACCAAUAAGGCUUGGGAGGCAGCAGUAACAUAUACAUGCCAAAUGUCAAUGAUCAAGCCAGAUGAGAUGACGCAUUUGGUUCGAUAUGCUCAUGUUGUGCCAAAGCUUGCCGUUCCGUUUCCUCCAGAGUGAGUAGAAUUCCCUUAUCCAAGGGUCAUUUGUGUUUCUCUGCGGUGUGAUCUUGAUUCAUUUUGCCUGCUUACCAUUUUUCUUCUUAAUUUGUCCAGUCCAAAACCAAUCAUGUUUUUUUUCUCCCUCUGCGUUUUGCACUGAUUGAAACUGUUGUUGUGCGUGUUUCAGAUAAUCCUAAUAAACUUGAUACAGCAUGGUGUGCUGCUGCAGCUGUUCGUAUGGAAGUAACAAAAUCCGGAAAUGCACUAAUCCUUUUAUUUGUUAAAUGUCCAGAGCAUAUAUAGCUCAGUUGAACAGUUACCAUGUUCGAUAUCUCUAGGCAGCUUACCGAAAAAAAAUACAGAGUUUCAUGGCCAUGGUGCAGUUAUGCAUAUAUAGAACACAGGAUGGUCCUUUGAACAAUUCAGUAAAAACAAAAGAGACUAAAAGAGUCCUGUACGAGCAAGUGCAAAAUGGAGCAACAUCAGGGCACAUUGGCCACGCUGGACUGGCCAUUGUGCCAGCUUCCUCCAUCGGAACCGUGCUAAACUAGAGUUGGGCCUGUCUGGUUGUCUGAAAAUCUGACCCAGGCAAAUAGUUCUCUUCCAUCCCUACGUCUCACCAAUCAUCAAAAAUUUGCUAGGGAUGGGGAUUACAUUGGUAGAUAAUAUGAAAAAUUUUCAAGCUCAGGUGUAUCCAUGAGGAGUAAAAAAUAAAAUGUGGACAAAGGGGAACGAUUCUUUAAAUCUCUGCCUUCCAAUGUUGGGUCCAUAGGUUGAGAUGCUUAGCUGAGUACCACAUUUAUAUACCGAGAAAGGCUAUUGUGUAUGACACUGGGGCUUAUAUAUAUCUAUCUAUAAUUCUAUAUAUAUCUAUAUGAGUAGAAGAAAGGGUAUACGAGAGAUCACGCUGCACAUGCCACGAGCACACGAGUUGCAGAGUUUGCAUCGUAGCUGCCGAGCAGACGAGUAAACGACCAAGCCACCGGGACUAGGAGCAUGGCUGCAUUGGCCAUUAGCCCAGCAAAAAACUGGAAGUAGCUACCUAGCUUCCUCAGAGGGUACAUUCAGGCUUGAGAGGCAUCGGGAAUCUAUGACACCCAGUUUGGUAAAGCCAUUCGUGGCCCCUGCCGGUGAUUGAUGCGAUGAUUUCCCCUAGGGUGCCUGUAUGUCUAGAAACGCUGUAGAGGCACAAGCGCAACUCUACCUCUCAGUCUGGCCACGCGCUACUUGCAGUUGCAGUGUGUGCAUAAGCCCAUGCGAAUAUGGGAUCGUCAGCAUAUUGGCUGCAGCUGAGCACGGCGACUUCACCGGUAAAAGCACCAUCGCAUAGUAGAAUCCUUCUUUCUCCGUAGUAUACUUUAGGCUUGGGUGACAUCGAGAAUUCAACAAUGUCAACUUUUUUACAACAGCCGAGCCUGCAACAGGAAGCUCGUGUCCCCAAAAUUUAGCAACAAAGCUUCAAUCAAGGGACUAGUAGUGUAGUUCUAACUUCCUGGUGUUUCUUGUGUAAGGUUAAUUUGGUUGCGUGCCCUGUAAUUUCAAUUUCUGUUUUGCAUCUUUGAGGUGGCAUAUGUGCCACUCAACAUUUUGCCAUUUUUGGUGCUCGUAUGAAUACUCUUUAACCUAGUUAGCUGUCCAUUUGGCACAAGUAUUUUGGUUUGUAGUUUAACAAUUCAAGCAUGAUAAGAUCGGCCUCCAGGCACCGAGCGUGCUGCAAGCAUGGAACCGAGCUUGCAACUAUUUAUCCGCAAUCAUACAGGGAUGGAUCAUGGCUGGACCACGGACUUCCAAUAUACAAAUCUAGUUCGAUGACAAAAUUUAAACAGCUAGCUAGUACUCCGUGGGGAGCUGUAUUUUGGUUGACUGGCAAGGUUAAAUGUUGGAUUUCAUUACAAAAAUGUAAAAUGUUGGUUAAAACCAGUUUCCCAAGUGACAUUUUCCAUUAAUUACUCAAAAUUGGGCAUUCUUAUGCGUAGGUACAAUAGAAUUUAGUCCUGAUAUGUCAAUGGUACACCGCCA
rnacentral:lncRNA from 1 species